rnacentral:rRNA from 1 species
UUAUUUGAGAGUUUGAUCCUGGCUCAGGAUGAACGCUGGCGACGUGCCUAACACAUGCAAGUUGAGCGAUUUACUUCGGUAAAGAGCGGCGGACGGGUGAGUAACGCGUGGGUAACCUACCCUGUACACACGGAUAACAUACCGAAAGGUAUGCUAAUACGGGAUAAUAUAUUUGAGAGGCAUCUCUUGAAUAUCAAAGGUGAGCCAGUACAGGAUGGACCCGCGUCUGAUUAGCUAGUUGGUAAGGUAACGGCUUACCAAGGCGACGAUCAGUAGCCGACCUGAGAGGGUGAUCGGCCACAUUGGAACUGAGACA